UUAUAAUACUAGAAUCCUAAAAUUGUAUUAGCCCCUUCUCUCUCCUCUUCUUCCCAGCCCGAUACCACCACUCUUUCUUUUCUUCUCUCGCAUCUCAGUCGGCCAGACCAAAUGAGCCAUCUCCAGCAACCACCCAAUGACACGCACCCCACCACAAGCUUCCUUGGCCCCCAAAACCCCCAACCCGUGAAGCUUGCCUCCCCACUCGUCGGCAUCCGUCGCAACUGGCCCCCCGAAGUUCUGUCGCCGAUGUGAGUUUGGAGGAUUUUUCUGGCCUCCACCGUCUUCGAAACAAGAAUUCAAGGGAAUGGUUGGGUUUGUGAGCUCAAGAUAAGCAAAACCCCUAUGGAAAUUGGACUGAAAUGUCGCUGGAGGUGCUCACCAAUGUCAAGAACGACUUUCCUCUUCUUCUUGGAUAUCUGAAUGACUUCACCUGUGCUGGCCUCUUCGCUCCUAAUAGCUUCUUCUUCUAAACCAAGGCACUUCUGAGAGAAUUGCCUCCUUUUAUGAGCUUUGAUGUGUAUAUUAUUUGGUGUAAAGUAUAUAUAGAAGCAUUGGCUUAUGCUUAGAGGGCAUAUCUAUUUGUUAUAUUCAUUGAUUUCAGAUCUAUUCCUUUUUUUUUUUAAACAAAAAUAAGAAACUUAAUUCUGGAAAAUCAUUUGGUUUGUUCAACUAUACUGGGGCUAGAAUUAUUUUCAACAAAACUGAGUGAAAUCUCUCACGGUGCCUAUUAUCAACUAUGAACCAUAAUGAAUAAGAGAACAUAAGAAACGAAAAAAAAAAUCCCAUUCUUUUUCUUCGAAGAACUUGUUUUCCAUCCGAGAAUGAAG